rnacentral:rRNA from 1 species
CAAUAGCGUAUAUUAAUGUUGUUGCAGUUAAAAAGCUCGUAGUUGGAUUUCUGGUGGGAGCGGCCGGUCCGCCGUAAGGUGUGUACUUGGUUGUCUCCUGUCAUCCUUGUGGGAACUGCUCUGGCAUUAAGUUGUCGGGGUUAGGGAACACAUCGUUUACUGUGAAAAAAUUAGAGUGUUUAAAGCAGGCUUAUGCCGUUGAAUACAUUAGCAUGGAAUAAUAAGAUAGGACUUUGGCGUCUAUUUUGUUGGUUUGCACACCAAGGUAAUGAUUAAUAGGAACAGUUGGGGGCAUUCGUAUUUCAUUGUCAGAGGUGAAAUUCUUGGAUUUAUGAAAGACGAACUUCUGCGAAAGCAUUUGCCAAGGAUGUUUUCAUUAA